UACGUAGGCAGCAAGCGUUGUUCGGAGUUACUGGGCGUAAAGGGUGUGUAGGCGGUUCUUUAAGUUUGCUGUGAAAUCUCCCGGCUUAACCGGGAGGGUGCGGUGAAUACUGAGGGACUAGAGUACGGGAGAGGAAAGUGGAAUUCCUGGUGUAGCGGUGAAAUGCGUAGAUAUCAGGAGGAACACCGGUGGUGUAGACGGCUUUCUGGACCGUAACUGACGCUGAGGAGCGAAAGCCAGGGGAGCAAACGGG
rnacentral:rRNA from 1 species